GGGGACGAAAGUUUCGAUGAGGUAGUACUUUGAAAACUGCAAGCCGCUAAGGAAACAUAUAGCGUAAAAGGGUGUUUCAAAAUUAAACGGCAAAAAUUCUGUCGUUGCUUUCGCAGAAAAGUUCGCGAAAACUGUUGAAGGUAUGACCUUUGUUGGUCUUACUAACCGCAGUUACGCACUAGCUGCUUAAUGCUACUUUAGGACAUCUUCUUCUCGAUGGGAUGCUUAAGGUAUAUACACAGUCGAGAUGCUUUUCUUUAGGUGUUGGUUGAUCCUAAAAGAGAUUAAGAUAACUCAAUCAGAUAGUAGUUUUCCUGCUAGUUGGUUACAACUACUAUCCAAACAUUAACUAGCUACGCUUGUAGACGUUUUUAGAUUAAUAUUUCAGACCCGAGAUCAAACUCGGCGUCUCCACUA
rnacentral:tmRNA from 3 species